rnacentral:rRNA from 1 species
GACGAACGCUGGCGGCGUGCUUAACACAUGCAAGUCGAACGGAAAGGCCCUGCCUUUGUGGGGUGCUAGAGUGGCGAACGGGUGAGAAACAUGUGAGUAACCUGCCCUUGACUUUGGGAUAACUUCAGGAAAGUGGGGAUAAUACCGGAUAGGAGCUCCUGCUGCCUGGGGGGGGUGGGAAAGUUUCGGCGGUUGGGGAUGGACUCGCGGCUUAUCAGCUUGUUGGUGGGGUAGUGGCUUACCAAGGCUUUGACGGGUAGCCGGCCUGAGAGGGUGACCGGCCACAUUGGGACUGAGAUACGGCCCAGACUCCUACGGGAGGCAGCAGUGGGGAAUAUUGCGCAAUGGGCGGAAGCCUGAUGCAGCGACGCCGCGUGCGGGAUGACGGCCUUCGGGUUGUAAACCGCUUUCGCCUGGGACGAAGCGAAAGUGACGGUAAUGGGUGAAGAAGCACCGGCUAACUACGUG